rnacentral:rRNA from 1 species
UACGAAGGGUGCAAGCGUUACUCGGAAUUACUGGGCGUAAAGCGUGCGUAGGUGGUGAGUUAAGUCUGAUGUGAAAUCCCCGGGCUCAACCUGGGAAUGGCAUUGGAUACUGGCUCGCUAGAGUACGGUAGAGGGUGGUGGAAUUCCCGGUGUAGCAGUGAAAUGCGUAGAGAUCGGGAGGAACAUCCGUGGCGAAGGCGGCCACCUGGACCAGUACUGACACUGGAGGCACGAAAGCGUGGGGAGCAAACAGG